GAUGAACGCUGGCGGCGUGCCUAAUACAUGCAAGUCGAGCGAACAGAUGAGGAGCUUGCUCCUCUGACGUUAGCGGCGGACGGGUGAGUAACACGUGGAUAACCUACCUAUAAGACUUGGAUAACUUCGUGAAACCGGAGCUACUACCGGAUAAUAUAUUGAACCGCAUGGUUCAAUAGUGAAAGACGGUUUUGCUGUCACUUAUAGAUGGAUCCGCGCCGCAUUAGCUAGUUGGUAAGGUAACGGCUUACCAAGGCAACGAUGCGUAGCCGACCUGAGAGGGUGAUCGGCCACACUGGAACUGAGACACGGUCCAGACUCCUACGGGAGGCAGCAGUAGGGAAUCUUCCGCAAUGGGCGAAAGCCUGACGGAGCAACGCCGCGUGAGUGAUGAAGGUCUUCGGAUCGUAAAACUCUGUUAUUAGGGAAGAACAAAUGUGUAAGUAAAUAUGCACGUCUUGACGGUACCUAAUCAGAAAGCCACGGCUAACUACGUG
rnacentral:rRNA from 1 species